UAGGUUUCAGAAAUUGAUGGUAUUUUUAAUGAUUAAAUAAGACAGCUGGUGUUGGAAAUGCUGCUGGAGUUGGAACUCAUUCCUGUACUGAAUGUGUUUCUGAAUGUGCUGCUAAAUGUGGAUUUCUGAUUGGAAGAACUGUGGCUGUUUUGAUAACUAUGACGAUUGGGACCUCGAUGGCUGCUCGUCAAGGUCCUCUAGCUAUGGCUGCUCAUCAAAUCUGUAUGCAAGUGUGGUUGGCUGUCUCUCUUUUAACUGAUGGAUUGGCCGCAUCUGGUCAGGUCUACACUCCGAGGAUUGCGCCUUAUGCGAGGAAUUUGAUGUGGUUCGUGAGCAAUGGGCUAAGUUUUUUACCAACAAGUAUUUAUUAUUGGCUUUAGCGCGCUUGAUCGAGUUGGUUUAGUUGUUAUAGAAUAAAUUUUAUAUUAAAAUGUAUGUUUAUGUUGAAAUUGGAACAUAUAUUUAAAUGUAAUAUGUGCACUUUGGUUUUGGGAUAUAUAGUAUACAAAACUCCA